rnacentral:rRNA from 1 species
AUUGAACGCUAGCGGCAUGCCUUACACAUGCAAGUCGAACGGCAGCACGGGGGCAACCCUGGUGGCGAGUGGCGAACGGGUGAGUAAUACAUCGGAACGUACCCAGUAGUGGGGGAUAACGUAGCGAAAGCUACGCUAAUACCGCAUACGCACUACGGUGGAAAGCGGGGGACCGCAAGGCCUCGCGCUAUUGGAGCGGCCGAUGGCAGAUUAGCUAGUUGGUGGGGUAAAGGCCUACCAAGGCGACGAUCUGUAGCUGGUCUGAGAGGACGACCAGCCACACUGGGACUGAGACACGGCCCAGACUCCUACGGGAGGCAGCAGUGGGGAAUUUUGGACAAUGGGGGCAACCCUGAUCCAGCAAUGCCGCGUGUGUGAAGAAGGCCUUCGGGUUGUAAAGCACUUUUGGCGGGAGCGAAAGCGCCUGGGCUAAUACCCCGGGUGGAUGACGGUACCCGCAGAAUAAGCACCGGCUAACUACGUG